rnacentral:rRNA from 1 species
CCUACGGUGGGCUGCAGUGAGGAAUAUUGGUCAAUGGGCGAGAGCCUGAACCAGCCAAGUCGCGUGAGGGAGUACUGCCCUCUGGGUUGUAAACCUCUUUUGUCGGGGCGCAAAAGCCGGACGUGUCCGGCUGUGAGAGUACCCGUAGAAAAAGCAUAGGCUACCUCCGUGCACGCAGCCGCGGUACUACGUAGGGAGCAAGUGUUAUUCGGAAUUAGUGGGUGUAAAGGGUGUGUAGACGGGAGUCUAAGUGAGUUGUGAAAUCCCUCGGCUCAACUGAGGAACUGCAACUAAAACUGGACAUCUUGAGUGCAGGAGAGGAAAGUGGAAUUCCGGGUGUAGCGGUGAAAUGCGUAGAUAUUAGGAGGAACACCAGUGGCGAAGGCGACUUUCUGGACUGUAACUGACGUUGAGGCACGAAAGUGUGGGGAGCAAACAGGAUUAGAUACCCCAGUAGUC